rnacentral:rRNA from 1 species
AUACGUAGGGGGCGAGCGUUGUCCGGAAUUAUUGGGCGUAAAGGGCGCGUAGGCGGCCCGGUAAGUCUGGAGUGAAAGUCCUGUUUUUAAGAUGGGAAUUGCUUUGGAUACUGUCGGGCUUGAGUGCAGGAGAGGUAAGUGGAAUUCCCAGUGUAGCGGUGAAAUGCGUAGAGAUUGGGAGGAACACCAGUGGCGAAGGCGAAUUACUGGACUGUAACUGACGCUGAGGCGCGAAAGUGUGGGGAGCAAACAGGAUUAGAUACCCUGGUAGUCCACACUGUAAACGAUGAAUGCUAGGUGUAGGGGGUAUCGACCCCUUCUGUGCCGCAGUCAACACAAUAAGCAUUCCGCCUGGGGAGUACGGCCGCAAGGUUGAAACUCGAAUGAAUUGACGGGG